UAAGGUGAACUAGGUUGCCCUCAGUCUCUUUACAGAUUACACCCCGUUUCCUUUACCACGCUGCUAAGUAAUUCUUAGGGAAUUAUUCCCCCUCCAAAUUCUCUCUGCUAACAGAGUGAUCGGCCACAUAUGCUUCCACUUUACGCACCUCUGGACAGCGGGUGUCUUCAUAAAGCUGCCCGCCUCUCAAACGUGCAGGCUGGAGCUGCAAUCUUUCCACCCACCCUUUUCCCGUGAGACUGCUGACUGUCAACUCAGAAGACAGGAUGGAGGAACUUGCCUGUUAGGGCCUGAUUUCCUCCACAUACCGGAGACCGGAAUGAAAUUGUCCCUCCUUUGUCUUAAGGAAAAAUCGUGGGAAUGUUCAGAAGACCCACGUGGUUGGCGUGCACACUUGUGCCUGGGCGGGGCUCCCGUGAAGAUCACCAUACCUGGAAUUGUGUAUAGUGCACCAGUUUGUUCUGACACAGCGGAAGCCCUUCAUCCUUUUGCUCACCCGAUGGUUCUAUAAAAGCGAUUUCUCACUCUCGGGCUUUGCAGGAGCCAGGUGUGCAUUCCAUAAUGCGCCUAUUAUGCAGCCAUUCUCAGUAGCCAUUGCUCAUACAAUGACCCUUCUGAUUUGCCCCUUUACAGCGUGGUUGCCAACGACUUCGGUCCCCACCCAGUACAACUUCAGGUAUGCAUUUCACAUAUAUUUCCAGGCAGAAAAAAGAAAACCCUUUCUCCCUUUGUCUCAAGACAAACAAAAGUAACUGGCAUUUUUCUUCUCCCAACCACAUGUGCCUGCAGCACGGGUGCCCUAAAAAAGGAAACCUGUUUCCCUCCUCCCAAGUUUCUGGUUUCUCCACCCAGUCUCCCCACAGCCCUCUGCUCCCGCACCCAGGCCUUCCGGCCUCCGCCCAGCCUCGGAGCGGCGCCCGACAUUCCAGCUUCCACUUUGAUCCUUACAAAUGAAAAGGCACGGCUGGCCGUGGAGUGUUCGGCCGUGAACGAAGCUGCGGGACAGAGGCAGCGCCAUCUCAGUCCGUCUGUCCGUCAGUCCAGGAGGAGCAGGCCGCGCGGGUGCUCCGGGAGCUGCGGCGCCACGCUGCCCGCAGGCUGCACGGGGAGCCCACUGGCAGGCCUGGGCUGUCACUUCCCGCCUCUGCCCUCCCCAGCUUGCCCUUGACAGCUCUCUUCUUUGAUCUGUAAAAUGGGAGACAAUAGGAGACACUUUGAUAUUCUUCAAAAGCUGCGGGGAUUUGCUGUUUUCUCCCGAAAUAAAGGGCUUGUAGAGAGUUUCUUUGAGAACUGGAAGGAACAUGCUGUCACAUGUAAUCUAACGAGCUCGGCCUCCUCUUCCAGUGCCCAUUAAUCAAUCAUCCAACACUGGAAACCUGUGGCAAGGCUUCUGUGUGCUGUGGAGAAGCAAGGGCAUGGUCUCUGCUUUUAAAGCAUUUAUGGGCUAGCUGGGGAGAUGAACUGUGUAUAUAUGAGCAUAAAACAUGACAAUAGCCAACAUUUAUGGAGUACGCCCCGUGUGCCAGGCUCAGUGUGGCGCUCUCCUUUACUCCUCUGACACCCCAUCAAGUAUGUGCUGUGUUAUCAUCUCCAUUUUAUAGACUUUUUAGCAGGAUCACUUGCCCUCCGGGUCACACAGUGUGCGGGCAAGUCAGACUGUGCAUACAGGCCUGGCUGACUGCAGAGGAAGGAGCUGCGUUUGCAAGCUCGAAUCUGUGCAGCGUUCAGUGAAGAUUAGUUCCUGAUGUUUAACUGAGCUCACAGAAACAAGAUGGAAGGUUUAUCAAUGAGUUGCCUCUAGGAAACACCUGAUAAGGACCUGAUUUUGAUGAUCGGAUCCUGUACUUCCAGCCUGAGCCUAAGCCAGAGCCUGACGCCAUAGUGGACAGUCCGGGGAAGGAAUGAGUAUAUUUUUCAUGUGAGAGGCGUGGUAGCAUUUGUGGCCAGAGGGAUAGCUGUGGCAGUUUUAAAACACAGCUGCAAAUUCAUUGAGACAUGGGGUCGUGUCCACUUUCCUUGAAUCUGGGUGGACUUACGGCUGCUUUGAAAAAUAGAGUAUGACAGAAAUGAUGCUGUGUGACUUCCAAGGCUAGGUGAUAUAAGACCUGGCAGUUUCUUCUUGGUUCACUGCAAUACUUGCUCUGGAACCCUGAACUGCCAAGCCUUGAAGUGUCCACUGUGGCCACUUCGCAUUGCCAAGCAAGAGGUGACCACUCAGAGACCAUCGUCCUGGAGAGUCCUCUCAUAAGGGUUCUGGUCAACAACUCCUGCUGAGUCCACCCUUCCGGUCAUCCCUGCCAAGGUGUAAGACUUGGUAGUGAAGCAGUUGUGGACCCUUCAGACAAGCCCAGCUGCUCGUUAAAUACCCUUGGAUUACUUACCUUAACACCACGUGGAACAGACGAAUCACCCAGCUGAGCCCUGCCCAAAUUACAGACCCAAACUGUGAGAGAUGAUGAAAUGGUUGUUCUAAGCCACUGAGUUUUGAGGCAGUUUGUUAUGCAGAAAUGGGUAAGUGGAACAGAAUUUGGUAGCAGAAGUGGAAAGACUUGAAGGAAUGCCUACCUGCCUGAAGAAGUCUUUAAGAAUUAGCUGGUUAAGUAGUUACACGUAUCAUGUCGAGGUGCAAAGGGAAAUUCCUCUGCUGAUCUGAAAACACCUGACAGUGUGUAUGUCUGUGUAUGUAUAUGUGUGUACAGCCAUGUAGUACUUGAAGACUGGCCCUAGAGUGAGUCCUUAUUCAGAUGAUUUAUCUUCCUUAUUCCUUGCCUCACAGAGGGUGGUAUUCUAACUUCUUGCUACUCAUAGUGUGGUCUGAGGACCAGCAGCGUUGGUAUGGCUUGGGAGCUUGUUAGAAAAGCAGGAUCUCAGGCUCUGCCCCAGACUGAAUCAGAACCUGCGUUUAACAAGAUCCCAGGAGAUUCCAGUGCACAUUAAAGUUGGAGGAAGUCUGCUCUAAGCUUUACUGCUCACUAUUGUUACUGCUUCUGUUGCUGUCGCUAUUACUAAAAACCAAAGGACAGCGCCCACUUUUGGUGCCAUGUGCUAGUGAUUUAUGUACAUUGUUGCACGUAAUUUCAUUCUCAGAAUAACAUUGCAAUAUAGGUAUUAUCAUCCCUAUUAUAUACAUGAAGAAGUGGAGGCUUAGAGCCUUGGGAGAAUUUGCCCAAAGCUGCACAGCUAGUGAGCGCCAGUGACAGGCGUGGAACCCAGGCCUGUCUGUUUCCAAAGGCUGGACACAGUCAAGCCCAAGAAUUCAAGUAUAGUUUAUUUGGAAGGUGAUCUCAGGAGACCCCUGUAGGGGAGUGGGGAAAUGGAACGGAAGGGCAGGAGAAAUAGGGGGGCAUUAUGGAGACAGUUACCAUUCUGGACAACUGGAAUCUAAUCCCCGGGGAACUCUGGGAAAUAAUUUAGAACAUGUGUCUCAGGGUUAUUCCACCUGAGUGAGGAAUGAGCUGCGGUAUCUAUGCAGUCGUCUGCAGAGGGCUACUCCGGGGUACUAAUUCCCGGGUAUUUCUGGGCAGCGAAACAUGUGAACAAAGUGGGCUCAGGUGGAGACAGACAGCUCUUAGGCAAAGAAGUGAGGUACUGGCAGCUGGGGUACCAACAGUAUCUGCUGUACUACGCUUGCCUGUAUCUUACAGAACGAUCCCUCAGAAAUGCAUUUUCCUCUCCCUUUUUAUUUAUUGGACCAACU
ensembl:lncRNA